rnacentral:tRNA from 1 species
GCCUGGGUGGCUCAGUCAGUUGAGCGUCCGACUUCCACUCAGUUCAUGAUUUCACAGUUCGUGGGUUUGAGCCCCGCAUCAGGCU